AGCACGUCUUGGCAGAGAUGAGAGACACUGCUCGCUUCCAUAGCCACCCUUAAAAUUUAUUUUAAACAGUAAGUACUUUAUUUUAUUUUUAAGACAUUAAUUUGAAUAUUGCACAUUUGCAAAAUAGUUUCCUUUCAGCUGGCAAGCAGUCAAUGUCUUGAUAUUUACUUUUUUUUUCCUAUUAGGUACUUGUGCACGUGGAGUUUAAGUUGUAUAUGGGCACUCAUGAUCAGCACUUGUCAAACUGAGGGGUGGUACAGAAACAGACAUUUGUGAUUAUUUGCACUGGGUCCUCUAGCAGGACACUCUCCUCAAAGCAAAAUGUAAAGAGAAUAUUGGAU
rnacentral:lncRNA from 1 species